rnacentral:lncRNA from 1 species
GGGAGGCACAGAGCCUUAGUCUAUGAGCCCUAACUCCCUGAACUCCCACCCCAGAGUUAGGAAACUCCUCCCACAUAGGACAAUGGGCAAGCAGAGCCCGCCUUCCAUGGGAGGAGCCCAAAUAGUCCACACCCACUUUCCCUGCCUCCCUUGCAGCUAGGGCAUGGCAUGUGACUGGACUCUGCCAAUCAGAGGCACCUGCUCUGGAGUUUGAAUUGGAGGCUUGUCCUGUCCAGGACUCUUUCUGGAGGGAGCCUGGGCCACAUGGAGUUCCUGGCAGCUGUGAAGAAGAAGGACUUCACCAGGCUGGCUCUGUGUGCCCACAACAGCUCCGCUGGGAACCCGCCAUCCUCCGAGAAGACAUUUUAGCAACAGAGGAGGCCAUUUUGCUUUGAGAAUCAGAACCAAACCCUGCAAGGCCAGGACAGGGAAAGUCUCAGGCAAGUCACGACUGUGGCCAGGGCUUGCUGAAGACAGAAGGGCAGGGGGCUGGUGGCGGGGGCAGGCGGCCUCUGAAUGGCUUUAAGAGGAAGCAGAGAUGGGGGCGUCAUGGCUGCACUGGGGAUGACACCCUCUCCCUCUAGCUGGGUGGCCUUGGGCAGGGCCUUUCCCUCUCCAAGCUUUUGAGUCCUCAGCCUGCAAUGGCGGACUCCAGCCCCCCUCACACCACCUUGCAGGUGAGUGAGGAAACCCAGCACCAGCACCUGGGUGUGCAGCGUGGGAGAUGUUUUAGGGAUUCCACCCCUUCUUGGAGCUUUUCUAUUUAAAACAAUUUUUUUUAACUUUUUGUAGAGAUGGGGGUCUCACUGUGUUGCCCAGGCUGUUCUUGAACUCCUUGAAGUUCAAGUGAUCCUCCCACCAUAGCCUCUCAAAGUGUUAGGAUUAUAGGCGGGAGCCACCGUGCCCAGCCCCUUCUUGGACCAUGUAGUGCUUCCUGGGUCCUUUUCCUCUUUAUUCUCCCUCCCCCUGCACCCCAGAACUGAUGUGGGGCUGAUCUGACCUUACUGACAGGGUGGGAGCCCGGGUGCCCUUCCUACCCUCCCCAAGGGGCUCUACGACCCUCCAGGACAGUCUUUGCCCAGGUGCCCUGAGGGC